rnacentral:rRNA from 1 species
UUAAGUGACUAAGCGUACACGGUGGAUGCCCUGGCAGUCAGAGGCGAUGAAGGACGUGCUAAUCUGCGAUAAGCGUCGGUAAGGUGAUAUGAACCGUUAUAACCGGCGAUUUCCGAAUGGGGAAACCCAGUGUGUUUCGACACACUAUCAUUAACUGAAUCCAUAGGUUAAUGAGGCGAACCGGGGGAACUGAAACAUCUAAGUACCCCGAGGAAAAGAAAUCAACCGAGAUUCCCCCAGUAGCGGCGAGCGAACGGGGAGCAGCCCAGAGCCUGAAUCAGUGUGUGUGUUAGUGGAAGCGUCUGGAAAGGCGCGCGAUACAGGGUGACAGCCCCGUACACAAAAAUGCACAUGCUGUGAGCUCGAUGAGUAGGGCGGGACACGUGGUAUCCUGUCUGAAUAUGGGGGGACCAUCCUCCAAGGCUAAAUACUCCUGACUGACCGAUAGUGAACCAGUACCGUGAGGGAAAGGCGAAAAGAACCCCGGCGAGGGGAGUGAAAAAGAACCUGAAACCGUGUACGUACAAGCAGUGGGAGCACGCUUAGGCGUGUGACUGCGUACCUUUUGUAUAAUGGGUCAGCGACUUAUAUUCUGUAGCAAGGUUAACCGAAUAGGGGAGCCGAAGGGAAACCGAGUCUUAACUGGGCGUUAAGUUGCAGGGUAUAGACCCGAAACCCGGUGAUCUAGCCAUGGGCAGGUUGAAGGUUGGGUAACACUAACUGGAGGACCGAACCGACUAAUGUUGAAAAAUUAGCGGAUGACUUGUGGCUGGGGGUGAAAGGCCAAUCAAACCGGGAGAUAGCUGGUUCUCCCCGAAAGCUAUUUAGGUAGCGCCUCGUGAAUUCAUCUCCGGGGGUAGAGCACUGUUUCGGCAAGGGGGUCAUCCCGACUUACCAACCCGAUGCAAACUGCGAAUACCGGAGAAUGUUAUCACGGGAGACACACGGCGGGUGCUAACGUCCGUCGUGAAGAGGAAACAACCCAGACCGCCAGCUAAGGUCCCAAAGUCAUGGUUAAGUGGGAAACGAUGUGGAAGGCCCAGACAGCGGAUGUUGGCUUAGAAGCAGCCAUCAUUUAAAGAAAGCGUAAUAGCUCACUGGUCGAGUCGGCCUGCGCGGAAGAUGUAACGGGCUAAACCAUGCACCGAAGCUGCGGCAGCGACGCUGAUGCGUUGUUGGGUAGGGGAGCGUUCUGUAAGCCUGCGAAGGUGUGCUGUGAGGCAUGCUGGAGGUAUCAGAAGUGCGAAUGCUGACAUAAGUAACGAUAAAGCGGGUGAAAAGCCCGCUCGCCGGAAGACCAAGGGUUCCUGUCCAACGUUAAUCGGGGCAGGGUGAGUCGACCCCUAAGGCGAGGCCGAAAGGCGUAGUCGAUGGGAAACAGGUUAAUAUUCCUGUACUUGGUGUUACUGCGAAGGGGGGACGGAGAAGGCUAUGUUGGCCGGGCGACGGUUGUCCCGGUUUAAGCGUGUAGGCUGGUUUUCCAGGCAAAUCCGGAAAAUCAAGGCUGAGGCGUGAUGACGAGGCACUACGGUGCUGAAGCAACAAAUGCCCUGCUUCCAGGAAAAGCCUCUAAGCAUCAGGUAACAUCAAAUCGUACCCCAAACCGACACAGGUGGUCAGGUAGAGAAUACCAAGGCGCUUGAGAGAACUCGGGUGAAGGAACUAGGCAAAAUGGUGCCGUAACUUCGGGAGAAGGCACGCUGAUAUGUAGGUGAAGUCCCUUGCGGAUGGAGCUGAAAUCAGUCGAAGAUACCAGCUGGCUGCAACUGUUUAUUAAAAACACAGCACUGUGCAAACACGAAAGUGGACGUAUACGGUGUGACGCCUGCCCGGUGCCGGAAGGUUAAUUGAUGGGUUAGCAAGCGAAGCUCUUGAUCGAAGCCCGGUAAACGGCGGCCGUAACUAUAACGGUCCUAAGGUAGCGAAAUUCCUUGUCGGGUAAGUUCCGACCUGCACGAAUGGCGUAAUGAUGGCGGGCUGUCUCCACCGAGACUCAGUGAAAUUGAACUCGCUGUGAAGAUGCAGUGUACCCGCGGCAAGACGGAAAGACCCGUGAACCUUUACUUGACACUGAACAUUGAGCCUUGAUGUGUAGGAUAGGUGGGAGGCUUUGAAGUGUGGACGCCAGUCUGCAUGGAGCCGACCUUGAAAUACCACCCUUUAAUGUUUGAUGUUCUAACGUGGACCCGUGAUCCGGGUUGCGGACAGUGUCUGGUGGGUAGUUUGACUGGGGCGGUCUCCUCCUAAAGAGUAACGGAGGAGCACGAAGGUUGGCUAAUCCUGGUCGGACAUCAGGAGGUUAGUGCAAUGGCAUAAGCCAGCUUGACUGCGAGCGUGACGGCGCGAGCAGGUGCGAAAGCAGGUCAUAGUGAUCCGGUGGUUCUGAAUGGAAGGGCCAUCGCUCAACGGAUAAAAGGUACUCCGGGGAUAACAGGCUGAUACCGCCCAAGAGUUCAUAUCGACGGCGGUGUUUGGCACCUCGAUGUCGGCUCAUCACAUCCUGGGGCUGAAGUAGGUCCCAAGGGUAUGGCUGUUCGCCAUUUAAAGUGGUACGCGAGCUGGGUUUAGAACGUCGUGAGACAGUUCGGUCCCUAUCUGCCGUGGGCGCUGGAGAACUGAGGGGGGCUGCUCCUAGUACGAGAGGACCGGAGUGGACGCAUCACUGGUGUUCGGGUUGUCAUGCCAAUGGCACUGCCCGGUAGCUAAAUGCGGAAGAGAUAAGUGCUGAAAGCAUCUAAGCACGAAACUUGCCCCGAGAUGAGUUCUCCCUGACCCUUUAAGGGUCCUGAAGGAACGUUGAAGACGACGACGUUGAUAGGCCGGGUGUGUAAGCGCAGCGAUGCGUUGAGCUAACCGGUACUAAUGAACCGUGAGGCUUAACCU